rnacentral:rRNA from 1 species
UACGUAGGGUGCGAGCGUUGUCCGGAAUUAUUGGGCGUAAAGAGCUUGUAGGCGGUUUGUCGCGUCUGCUGUGAAAAUCCGGGGCUCAACCCCGGACUUGCAGUGGGUACGGGCAGACUGGAGUGUGGUAGGGGAGACUGGAAUUCCUGGUGUAGCGGUGGAAUGCGCAGAUAUCAGGAGGAACACCGAUGGCGAAGGCAGGUCUCUGGGCUGUAACUGACGCUGAGGAGCGAAAGCAUGGGGAGCGAACAGG